GAUGAACGCUGGCGGCGUGCCUAACACAUGCAAGUCGAGCGAUUUACUUCGGUAAAGAGCGGCGGACGGGUGAGUAACGCGUGGGUAACCUGCCCUGUACACACGGAUAACAUACCGAAAGGUAUGCUAAUACGAGAUAAUAUGCUUUUAUCGCAUGGUAGAAGUAUCAAAGCUUUUGCGGUACAGGAUGGACCCGCGUCUGAUUAGCUAGUUGGUGAGGUAACGGCUCACCAAGGCGACGAUCAGUAGCCGACCUGAGAGGGUGGUCGGCCACAUUGGAACUGAGACACGGUCCAAAAUCCUACGGGAGGCAGCAGUGGGGAAUAUUGCACAAUGGGCGAAAGCCUGAUGCAGCAACGCCGCGUGAGCGAUGAAGGCCUUCGGGUCGUAAAGCUCUGUCCUCAAGGAAGAUAAUGACGGUACUUGAGGAGGAAGCCCCGGCUAACUACGUG
rnacentral:rRNA from 1 species